UGCAAGACAACAGGGAUGCCUUAGUAGCGGCGAGUGAAGCGGCAAAAGCUCAAAUUUGAAAUCUGGCACCUUCGGUGUCCGAGUUGUAAUUUGAAGAUUGUAACCUUGGGGUUGGCUCUUGUCUAUGUUUCUUGGAACAGGACGUCACAGAGGGUGAGAAUCCCGUGCGAUGAGAUGCCCAAUCCUAUGUAAGGUGCUUUCGAAGAGUCGAGUUGUUUGGGAAUGCAGCUCUAAGUGGGUGGUAAAUUCCAUCUAAAGCUAAAUAUUGGCGAGAGACCCGAUAGCGAACAAGUACAGUGAUGGAAAGAUGAAAAGAACUUUGAAAAGAGAGUGAAAAAGUACGUGAAAUUGUUGAAAGGGAAGGGUUUGAGAUCAGACUCGAUAUUUUGUGAGCCUUGCCUUCGUGGCGGGGUGACCCGCAGCUUAUCGGGCCAGCAUCGGUUUGGGCGGUAGGAUAAUGGCGUAGGAAUGUGACUUUGCUUCGGUGAAGUGUUAUAGCCUGCGUUGAUGCUGCCUGCCUAGACCGAGGACUGCGAUUAUCAAGAUGCUGCAAC
rnacentral:rRNA from 1 species